CUUGGUCAUUUAGAGGAAGUAAAAGUCGUAACAAGGUCUCCGUAGGCGAACCUGCGGAGGGAUCAUUACAAGUGACCCCGGUCUAACCACCGGGAUGUUCAUAACCCUUUGUUGUCCGACUCUGUUGCCUCCGGGGCGACCCUGCCUUCGGGCGGGGGCUCCGGGUGGACACUUCAAGCUCUUGCGUAACUUUGCAGUCUGAGUAAACUUAAUUAAUAAAUUAAAACUUUUAACAACGGAUCUCUUGGUUCUGGCAUCGAUGAAGAACGCAGCGAAAUGCGAUAAGUAAUGUGAAUUGCAGAAUUCAGUGAAUCAUCGAAUCUUUGAACGCACAUUGCGCCCCCUGGUAUUCCGGGGGGCAUGCCUGUUCGAGCGUCAUUUCACCACUCAAGCCUCGCUUGGUAUUGGGCAACGCGGUCCGCCGCGUGCCUCAAAUCGACCGGCUGGGUCUUCUGUCCCCUAAGCGUUGUGGAAACUAUUCGCUAAAGGGUGCUCGGGAGGCUACGCCGUAAAACAAACCCAUUUCUAAGGUUGACCUCGGAUCAGGUAGGGAUACCCGCUGAACUUAAGCAUAUCAAUAAGCGGAGGA
rnacentral:rRNA from 1 species